rnacentral:rRNA from 1 species
UACAGAGGUCUCAAGCGUUGUCCGGAUUUAUUGGGCGUAAAGAGCGUGUAGGCGGCUAGGUAGGUCCGUUGUGAAAACUCGAGGCUCAACCUCGAGACGUCGAUGGAAACCAUCUAGCUAGAGUCCGGAAGAGGAGAGUGGAAUUCCUGGUGUAGCGGUGAAAUGCGCAGAUAUCAGGAAGAACACCCGUGGCGAAGGCGGCUCUCUGGUACGUGACUGACGCUGAGACGCGAAAGCGUGGGGAGCAAACAGG